AACGAACGCUGGCGGCAUGCCUAACACAUGCAAGUCGAACGGGACCUUCGGGCCUAGUGGCGCACGGGUGCGUACCGCGUGGGAACCUGCCCUUAGGUUCGGAAUAACUCCCCGAAAGGGGUGCUAAUACCGGAUAAUGUCUUCGGACCAAAGAUUUAUCGCCUUUGGAUGGGCCCGCGUUGGAUUAGCUAGUUGGUAGGGUAAAAGCCUACCAAGGCGACGAUCCAUAGCUGGUCUGAGAGGAUGAUCAGCCACACUGGGACUGAGACACGGCCCAGACUCCUACGGGAGGCAGCAGUGGGGAAUAUUGGACAAUGGGCGAAAGCCUGAUCCAGCAAUGCCGCGUGAGUGAUGAAGGCCUUAGGGUUGUAAAGCUCUUUUACCCGGGAUGAUAAUGACAGUACCGGGAGAAUAAGCUCCGGCUAACUCCGUG
rnacentral:rRNA from 1 species